GAUGAAGAACGCAGCGAAAUGCGAUAAUUAAUGUGAAUUGCAGAAUUCCGUGAAUCAUCGAGUCUUUGAACGCACAUUGCGCCCGCCAGUAUUCUGGCGGGCAUGCCUGUCCGAGCGUCAUCUCAACCCUCGAGCCCCCCCGGGGGCUCGGCGUUGGGGACCGGCCCCGCCCCAGGGCGCGCCGCCCCCCAAAUCCAGUGGCGGUCCCGCCGCAGCCUCCCCUGCGCAGUAGCUUGCACACUCGCACCGGAGAGCGGCGCGGCCACGCCGUAAAACCCCCCGACCACGGAGCCCCGGCUCCUGAACGUUGACCUCGGAUCAGGUAGGAAUACCCGCUGAACUUAAGCAUAUCAAUAAGCGGAGGA
rnacentral:misc_RNA from 1 species